rnacentral:tRNA from 1 species
GCCCCAGUGGCGGAACCGGUAGACGCGACAGACUCAAAAUCUGUUGUCCGCAAGGAUGUGCCCGUUCGAGUCGGGCCUGGGGCACCA